rnacentral:rRNA from 1 species
AUUGAACGCUGGCGGCAUGCCUUACACAUGCAAAUCGAACGGUAACGGGCCUUCGGGUGCCGACGAGUGGCGAACGGGAGAGUAAUACAUCGGAACGUGCCCGAUCGUGGGGGAAAACAAGGCGAAAGAACUGCUAAUACCGCAUACGAUCUACGGAUGAAAGCAGGGGACCGCAAGGCCUUGCGCGGGCGGAGAGGACGAGCGCAGAUUAGGUAGUGGGUGGGAUAAAAGCUUACCAAGCGGACGAUCUGUAGCUGGUCUGAGAGGAUGAUCAGCCACACUGGGACUGAGACACGGCCCAGACUCCUACGGGAGGCAGCAGUGGGGAAUUUUGGACAAUGGGCGCAAGCCUGAUCCAGCCAUGCCGCGUGCAGGAUGAAGGACUUCGGGUUGUAAACUGAUUUUGUACGGAACGAAAAGCCUUCUUUUAAUACAGGAGGGUCAUGACGGUACCGUAAGAAUAAGCACCGGCUAACUACGUG